rnacentral:lncRNA from 1 species
AGAUGCUUAUAAAUCAGGGACUUCUUCUUCUGGAAUAACAUCUACUACAUUCACGGAAUCAAACAUGGAUACCAUAUCAGCUGCAGCCUGCAGAUGUAAGUUCAUGCCUAAAGAACAUAAAUAUAUAGUUGAUUUUGUAAGUUUUACUUAGAGGUCUGAAAUAUUUAUCCAUUUCUUCAAGCAUGAGACCUAUAACAAUUCUUAACUAUCCCAGGAUUCUAGCUUUCAGUUGGGUGAUUCUUCACACUCCAGGUUCUGCAAAGUCAGCUAGCAAGAAAAAAAAAAGGGUCAGUAUUUCUCCUAUUAAAUAUUUUUUUGUUUACGUUUUGAUAUAUCCUUUUCAUAUUUUUAACGAUAAACUUCUUCGAGAAUACAUUUUAAGGAGGUUUCUUUGUUUGAAACAGGAGAAAUGGAUGCUGCUAUUACCGGAAGAACAACACUGGAGACAUAGAGUUUCAAGAUUGGAAAUUACCUGUGGUUAAUAACAGCCGGUUUACGAAAAUUUGCCUAUGAAUUACUUAGUUUUGGAUAUUCAUUUUCUAUUUAAUUUGAGUACUCAAAGACUUCAUGCAUUUCAUUCUCAUUUAACUUUUUACAUAAUUGUUGGUUUUUGAUCGUAUUUUCAUCUUUAUUAGAAAUAUUUGGAAGAUCUAUGCUACAAUGUUUCAAUACAUACAUAAUUAUAAUAAUUUAUCGGAUUUUCU